AGUCGGUCCCUUAGUGGGUAGGUCUCACACGUCAUAACAACGGUCGGUACAGAGGGUUGCCAAGCCGCGAGGCGGAGCCAAUCCCACAAAGCCGAUCGUAGUCCGGAUUGUUCUCUGCAACUCGAGAGCAUGAAGUCGGAAUCGCUAGUAAUCGCGAGUCAGCAUACUGCGGUGAAUACGUUCCCGGGUCUU
rnacentral:rRNA from 1 species